rnacentral:rRNA from 1 species
AUUGAACGCUGGCGGCAGGCCUAACACAUGCAAGUCGAACGGUAACAGGAAGAAGCUUGCUUCUUUGCUGACGAGUGGCGGACGGGUGAGUAAUGUCUGGGAAACUGCCUGAUGGAGGGGGAUAACUACUGGAAACGGUAGCUAAUACCGCAUAACGUCGCAAGACCAAAGAGGGGGACCUUCGGGCCUCUUGCCAUCGGAUGUGCCCAGAUGGGAUUAGCUAGUAGGUGGGGUAACGGCUCACCUAGGCGACGAUCCCUAGCUGGUCUGAGAGGAUGACCAGCCACACUGGAACUGAGACACGGUCCAGACUCCUACGGGAGGCAGCAGUGGGGAAUAUUGCACAAUGGGCGCAAGCCUGAUGCAGCCAUGCCGCGUGUAUGAAGAAGGCCUUCGGGUUGUAAAGUACUUUCAGCGAGGAGGAAGGGAGUAAAGUUAAUACCUUUGCUCAUUGACGUGACCCGCAGAAGAAGCACCGGCUAACUCCGU